CUACGGGAUGCAGCAGUGAGGAAUAUUGGUCAAUGGGCGAAAGCCUGAACCAGCCAUCCCGCGUGUAGGAUGACAGCCCUAUGGGUUGUAAACUACUUUUAUACUCCACGAAACCUACGCUCGUGAGCGUAGCUGACGGUAGAGUAAGAAUAAGCAUCGGCUAACUCCGUGCCAGCAGCCGCGGUAAUACGGAGGAUGCAGGCGUUAUCCGGAUUUAUUGGGUUUAAAGGGUGCGUAGGCGGAAUUAUAAGUCAGUGGUGAAAUCCUACAGCUUAACUGUAGAACUGCCAUUGAUACUGUAAUUCUUGAGUAUAUUUGAGGUAGGCGGAACGUGUCAUGUAGCGGUGAAAUGCUUAGAUAUGACACAGAACACCGAUUGCGUAGGCGGCUUACUAAAUUAUUACUGACGCUGAGGCACGAAAGCGUGGGGAGCGAACAGGAUUAGAUACCCCUGUAGUC
rnacentral:rRNA from 1 species